rnacentral:rRNA from 1 species
AACGAACGCUGGCGGCAUGCCUAACACAUGCAAGUCGAACGCCUCCUUCCCGCCUGCUCGCGCACGGAUGCGUCACGCGCGGGAACCUGCCCUUCAGUUCGGACUCACUCCGCGGAUAAAGUCCUAAUACCGGCUCCAGUCUUCCAACCGAAGAUUUAUCGCCGCUGGAUGGUCCCGCGUUGUAUUCGCAUGAUGGUAGCCUAACAGCCUACCAAGGCGACGAUCCAUAGCUGGUCUGAGAGGAUGCUCAGCCACACUGGAACUGAGACACGGCCCAGACUCGUACGGGAGGCAGCAGUGGGGAAUACUGGAAAACGGGCGAAAGCCUGAUCCAGCAACGCCGCGUGAGUGAUCAAGGCGUUAGGGUAGUAAAGCGCUUUAACGCGGGAUGAUAGUGACCGUACCGGGAGAAUAAGCUCCGGCUAACUCCGUG